AGCAUAGGACAACCUCCAGAUUUGUCAGAUAAUGAUGAACUCAAGGAGAAGAUAAGGAGAGAAGUGAGAAGAUGGGAAGCAAUUAUAAUGGAUGGGAUGUUGAACAUUCAGAAUCCUGAAGCAUCACAUGGUGAAAUGAUUCAAAGUACAAAUGCAAUGGUGAUGAGCUGGCUUCAGAAAUGUGAUGAAUACAGCACAUCUAAAACAUCAGGAUAUGAAACAAACUCAGAACCCAGAGAUCUAGAAGAUCCACAGAACCCAGAGAUGUCAGAUAAUGCAUCCAAACUUCAAACAAUGCAUGCCUAAAAACCAAUUUGCAUUGGUUUUAAAACCUAUUUAUUUUGCAGUUAUUUGUUAAUUAUGUGUUUUUCUAGUUAUUAAUAUGUUCGAGUUCCUAGAGCUCUUCCUGUAUGAUUUUAGGGAAAAAUCGGAUCUAUUGGAGAUGUCAAAUAGAU